UACGGAGGGUGCAAGCGUUAAUCGGAAUUACUGGGCGUAAAGCGCGCGUAGGCGGCUAAGUCAGUCGGAUGUGAAAUCCCUGGGCUCAACCUGGGAACUGCAUACGAUACUGCUUGGCUAGAGUGUGGGAGAGGGUGGUGGAAUUCCCGGUGUAGCGGUGAAAUGCGUAGAGAUGUGGAGGAACACCGAUGGCGAAGGCAGCCCCCUGGGUCAAGAUUGACGCUCAUGCACGAAAGCGUGGGGAGCAAACAGG
rnacentral:rRNA from 1 species